UGUUAGAGCCACCAGCACAAGCACCAGACGAUGCUGAUCCAGUGAGUACUCCAUCAAAGGCAUACUGUAGGCCUGGCAUGUCUUGUCUACUAGCUUCAAUAUGAAUCCGAUUAAAUGUGAUAGGGUGAAGGCCCCAGUACAGCAGCAACAGCACAUGAUGGAGACGAUGAUGAGGAGGAGACCAUCUCUCUGGAUUCCAGAAGGCAUGAGGUAUCAUGUUAAGACUGUGAAAGUACUAUUUACUCUACAAUGGUGAGGAGUCCUCAUCAAAAUCAAAAAAUCUAAUUUCUUUUACAGGACCCAGAUGCUAUACAGUGGGAAAACUAGCCUGGCAACAUAGUGCGUAUUAAUAAAAGGACACCACAUCCUGCCAAAUUCCAGCUGCGCUAAUUGUAUUGUGUUCACAGAGCUCACAAGCUAUCAGAAAGUUGUAUGGCAACCACCUCCGGCGCCAAAUAGAACUGGCAGACAUAGACAUUCAGUACAAGAAGAAAAGAUGGAAAAUCUUGCACUGGAGUCCGAAAUAAAAAAAGAGGACAAUUAGGAAACUGGACCUUGAAAUAAAAAAAAACUUGAGAGGGAGCUCCAAGAAGAUGACACAGCUCAAAAUAAAAAUUAGGUAUAUUCUCGUAAAGUCAAGUGAGCCAUGACAUAUGAGCUCUUAUUGUGAGCACACAGGACGGUGGCAUCUUUCUAAGGUUUUUUUUAUUUUCCCAGCAAUCAGUACAACCAAGUCAUCGUUAUAAGGCAUCGCCCUCUUUUGCCCACCCCCCCAGCACCAGGUGUGGCCACUAGCCUAUAUGAAGGCCCAAAAUUGUGUGUUCCUUUCUGCUCUGACAAUGGCAUGCCCAUUCGUGCGAGAUGUGGUGGAUGAAGAAGCACUUGUGCUGAGGAGAGCCUUCAGGCGAGAAAGGGUCUUCAGGGACCGGUUGGACCCACUGGCCUUCCCUGAUGACCAUCUAUAUGAAAGAUACAUGUUUUCUGCAGAUGGCAUCAGGUAUCUAUGCAGACUACUGGGUCCCAGGAUUAAGCACCGCACUGCACGGAGCCAUGCACUGAGUGUGGAGCAAAUGGUUUGUGUGGCCUUGCGCUUUUUUGCAGGUGGAGCCUUCCUGUACUCAGUGGGGGAUGCUGAACAAGGCCACAAUUUGCCGCACAAUAAGGAGUGUGUGUCUGGCUAUCAAAGCAUUAGCAGAUGUCUUCAUCUCCUUCCCUGGCCACAGAAGACUCUGUGACAUCAAAGAGGAGUUCUAUAGGAUUGCAGAUGGUCUGCAAUGCUGACUGUGUGAUCAGCAAUGUUGUGGCAAAAUGGCCUGGCUCAGUCCAUGACUCCAGAAUCUUUCGGGCCUCUGAAAUCUAUCAGUGCCUAUCACAAGGUGAAUUCUCUGGUGUGUUGCUGGGAGACAGGGGUAUGGCUGCCAGCCUUUUCUCCUGACACCUUUCACAGACCCCCAGGAAGCACAGCAGGCCUACAACCAUGCCCAUGCCAGGACCAGGGCCAGAGUUGAAAUGACCUUUGGCCUCCUGAAGGCACGCUUUCACUGCCUUCACAAAUUAAGGGUCAGCCCUGUUAGGGCAUGUGAUAUUACUGUGGCUUGUGCUGUCCUCCACAAUGUGGCCUGCCUGAGGAAGGAGAGGGCCCCCAGAGUGCCACCAGCCAUGGACUGGGACAAUCCGGCAAUCUUCCCUGAUGACGACAGUGGUCGGCUGCUGAGGGACCAAUAUGUGUUGAAUUAUUUUAGUAUGUGUGCUUUCAAUUUUGGUUAAAUAUGUCCUGCGGUGGCAGAGGAAUUUGGGUUUUUUUGGGUUCGUUUUUUGACGAAUUUGGCCUCUUAUGAUGUUUGUGCGGUAUACUGUGUGUAAUACAAGGCUGCAGGGAGGCUACUGCAUCCAUUCAUUUGUCUGUUCAGUUGAUGUGUAUGGAUUUGUCCUGCAUUUAUUUUAGUGUGCAGACAUGCAGGGUGUGUUAUAUACAGACCUUUGAAUGUGUAUGUAUCAUUUUGUAUAAUAUGCUUGGAUUCUGUGCUUUCCAUCUUGUAGAGUCACUGUGACUUCAGUUUCGAAAGGAGCUGAUGGUUUACCUGCUUUGUUUUGUCCUUAUUCAAUAAAGGAACAUAAUGUUACACAUUGUGUUUUUAUAUUCA